rnacentral:rRNA from 1 species
GUUAAAACGCUCGUAGUCGGAUUUCGUGGUCGGGCGACAGGUCUCCUUCACAGGUGCACUUGUCGGCUUGCCAUUCUUACCGGAACGGCUGCACUUUUUUAACUAAACGUGCAGUUGGAACGGUUUAUUUACUUUGAAAAAAUCAGAGUGUUUCAAGCAGGCAGCUCGCUCUUGCAUGGAUUAGCAUGGGAUAAUGAAAUAGGACUUUGGUGCUAUUUUGUUGGUUUCGAACAUCGAAGUAAUGAUUAAAAGGGACAGUCAGGGGCACUCGUAUUCCGCCGAGAGAGGUGAAAUUCUCAGACCAGCGGAAGACGAACCACUGCGAAAGCAUUUGCCAGGGAUGUUUUCACUGAUCAAGAACGAAAGUUAGGGGAUCGAAGACGAUCAGAUACCGUCGUAGUCUUAACCAUAAACAAUACCGACUAGGGAUUGGAGGAUGUUCACUAUCGACUCCUUCAGCACCUUACGGGAAACUAAAGUCUUUGGGUUCCGGGGGGAGUAUGGUCGCAAGGCUGAAACUUAAAGGAAUUGACGGAAGGGCACCACCAGGAGUGGAGCCUGCGGCUUAAUUUGACUCAACACGGGGAAACUUACCAGGUCCAGACAUUGUGAGGAUUGACAGAUUGAGAGCUCUUUCUUGAUUCGAUGGGUGGUGGUGCAUGGCCGUUCUUAGUUGGUGGAGUGAUUUGUCUGGUUAAUUCCGUUAACGA